GAGGAGGGACCUGGUGGGAGAUGAUUGGAUCAUAGGAGUGGAUUUCCCCGUUCUCUUCUCAUGAUAGCAUGCUGUAAAUACCUGACUGAUCUUACAGUGAGGAGAAUAUAGGAUGGAAUGGAUAUAAGAGCAAUCCCAUUAAAGACUACCUGUGGCUAUUAGUCACCUUCCAAACAAAAGAUGCUGAGUUCUCUAAAUUGCUUUAUGUGAGAUGUAACACAAAACCACAUGUUCACCACUACAGGAAUAGUGUGGAAAACCAGGUGGUAAUAAGGGUCUGCCAACCAAGACAAGGAACUCCAGAAAACUAUUAUUGAUGAUCACAGCAAAACCUCUGCAGAAAUUUCACAUCUGCUGAAGCCCAUGGCAUUUGCCUAGUACUGCCAAAGGAAAAAAUAAUGUCUUCUGGUCUCCAUUCCACCUUCAAAAUCAUGCUCCAGUGCACCUUGUUGUUAGAACAUAAAUUGUAUUCUAUUCCACAGAGUCAAGAGAAUCUAGAGAAUUUGAUUUCUAAAUUCCCAGCUCCUUCAAAACAGAAGAAACCUUAGAAGGGUUUUGCUGCUUGCAAAAUGAAAUUAAACCUGCACACUUAUUUCUGUUCUCUUAAUAAAGACUUUGAAGAGAUUAAUUCAUGAUACCUGCAAUGUUUCUCAGAUUUCCUUGGACAAUCUCAAAUCAUUCAUACCUGUGCCUCUCCCUCACUUUUCAGUUGCCCUGCUCCCAAACACCUUCAC
rnacentral:lncRNA from 10 species